UGGGGAAUAUUGCGCAAUGGGCGAAAGCCUGACGCAGCGACGCCGCGUGAGGGAUGAAGGUCUUCGGAUCGUAAACCUCUGUCAGCAGGGAAGAACGGUCACUGUGCUAAUCAGCAGUGAAUUGACGGUACCUGCAAAGGAAGCACCGGCUAACUCCGUGCC
rnacentral:rRNA from 1 species